GCCCUACACAUGCAAGUCGAGCGGAUGACAGGAGCUUGCUCCUGAAUUCAGCGGCGGACGGGUGAGUAAUGCCUAGGAAUCUGCCUGGUAGUGGGGGACAACGUUUCGAAAGGAACGCUAAUACCGCAUACGUCCUACGGGAGAAAGCAGGGGACCUUCGGGCCUUGCGCUAUCAGAUGAGCCUAGGUCGGAUUAGCUAGUUGGUGAGGUAAUGGCUCACCAAGGCGACGAUCCGUAACUGGUCUGAGAGGAUGAUCAGUCACACUGGAACUGAGACACGGUCCAGACUCCUACGGGAGGCAGCAGUGGGGAAUAUUGGACAAUGGGCGAAAGCCUGAUCCAGCCAUGCCGCGUGUGUGAAGAAGGUCUUCGGAUUGUAAAGCACUUUAAGUUGGGAGGAAGGGCAGUAACUUAAUACGUUGCUGUCUUGACGUUACCGACAGAAUAAGCACCGGCUAACUCUGUGCCAGCAGCCGCGGUAAUACAGAGGGUGCAAGCGUUAAUCGGAAUUACUGGGCGUAAAGCGCGCGUAGGUGGUUUGUUAAGUUGGAUGUGAAAGCCCCGGGCUCAACCUGGGAACUGCAUUCAAAACUGACAAGCUAGAG
rnacentral:rRNA from 1 species